UGAGGAAUAUUGGUCAAUGGGCGAGAGCCUGAACCAGCCAAGUAGCGUGCAGGAUGACGGCCCUAUGGGUUGUAAACUGCUUUUAUAUGGGAAUAAAGUGAGGGACGUGUCCCUUAUUGCAUGUACCAUACGAAUAAGGACCGGCUAAUUCCGUGCCAACAGCCGCGGUAAUACGGAAGGUCCAGGCGUUAUCCGGAUUUAUUGGGUUUAAAGGGAGCGUAGGCUGUUUGUUAAGCGUGUUGUGAAAUGUAAGAGCUCAACUUUUAGAUUGCAGCGCGAACUGGCAGACUUGAGUGCGCACAACGUAGGCGGAAUUCAUGGUGUAGCGGUGAAAUGCUUAGAUAUCAUGACGAACUCCGAUUGCGAAGGCAGCUUACGGGAGCGCAACUGACGCUAAAGCUCGAAGGUGCGGGUAUCGAACAGG
rnacentral:rRNA from 1 species